rnacentral:rRNA from 1 species
GCGGGAUGCCUUACACAUGCAAGUCGAACGGCAGCACGGACUUCGGUCUGGUGGCGAGUGGCGAACGGGUGAGUAAUGUAUCGGAACGUGCCCAGUAGCGGGGGAUAACUACGCGAAAGCGUAGCUAAUACCGCAUACGCCCUACGGGGGAAAGCAGGGGAUCGCAAGACCUUGCACUAUUGGAGCGGCCGAUAUCGGAUUAGCUAGUUGGUGGGGUAACGGCUCACCAAGGCGACGAUCCGUAGCUGGUUUGAGAGGACGACCAGCCACACUGGGACUGAGACACGGCCCAGACUCCUACGGGAGGCAGCAGUGGGGAAUUUUGGACAAUGGGGGAAACCCUGAUCCAGCCAUCCCGCGUGUGCGAUGAAGGCCUUCGGGUUGUAAAGCACUUUUGGCAGGAAAGAAACGUCGCGGGUUAAUACCUCGCGAAACUGACGGUACCUGCAGAAUAAGCACCGGCUAACUACGUGCCAGCAGCCGCGGUAAUACGUAGGGUGCAAGCGUUAAUCGGAAUUACUGGGCGUAAAGCGUGCGCAGGCGGUUCGGAAAGAAAGAUGUGAAAUCCCAGAGCUUAACUUUGGAACUGCAUUUUUAACUACCGGGCUAGAGUGUGUCAGAGGGAGGUGGAAUUCCGCGUGUAGCAGUGAAAUGCGUAGAUAUGCGGA